AUGAGCGUCCAUCCCGUAUCAGAUCCAAAAUUAAACAAUAUCUCAGUGGGGAAAUCUUCCAGAUAUCAUCAAGACAUUCACCUUUUAUCUUAAGCGUAAAUUUCUAGAAUUCACCUGAUGGAAUGAUAGAAAUGAAAACCCUUUUACAUUCUGAGGUGUGUGGAUCAAUUUGUUUAUUUUUUUUGCUCCCAAAUUGGUCGACAUCCAUUGCAUAUUGUGGUAUUGGAUGUCAAAAUAAGCAUCUUUCAAGUCAAUAAAUUUCCAGGAUUUGUAUUGCAUGGUCGUCCAAUUGAUCAGUGGCUCAUUGAAGGAACCAUUAUUUGCCGCUAUAAUUGUUCAGAAUCUACUGGCACACCUUGGUUAGAUUAAUAUACAGAGAGAUAUAAGCGGUUUUACUACCAUGAGUCUCCAACUUCUCUUGCCAUUUGUUGUCCUAACACCGCGUAUUUUUUAACAUGGCGCAUGUUAAAGGAUACGCCAUGAUCUGAGAUGAAGCUUCAUCCAAAACUUUCGUUGAGCAGAAAAAGGAACAUUGGCCCUUGACCAAUGCGUUGGCAAUGUUCAACCAACAUUUGGACAUUGGGUUGGCAGCGGUCAGCCAACAUGGAUAGACAUUGGAUUGGCAGCGGACAGCCAACAUGGCUGGACCUCGGGUCGGAAGUGGACAGCCAACGUGGGUGAACGUCGGGUCGGCAGUGGACAUUCAACAUGGAUGAACAUCGGGUCGGCAGUGGACAGCCAACAUGGUUGAACGUCGGGUCGGCAGUGGACAACCAACACAGCCAACGUGGCUGAACAUCGGGUUGGCAGUGGAUAGCCAACAUGGCUAAACAUCGAAGUUGGCAUUGGCAGUGGAGAGCCAUCUUGGCCGCUUAUUCAGAAAUAUAGGGCAACUGCCAUGAAUAGUAAAAUGGGGAGUUGAUGAAUGAUUUUUGGUCCCCCAAUUCAAGUUGCAAAAAUGUCAAGUUAACAUAUAUAGGGAGGGGUACUUGGUUGAAGGUGCAUAUACGGACCAUGCACCAAGUGAGAUAGCCUUAGAGAUGUACAACCAUCACGGCUAGACAUUGGAGUGGCCUAUGGGCCAAAGACGGAAGUACAACCAUCACGCCCUUCGCAUGACCUGGCUCGGGAAAUGUUCGGUCGUCAUGGCCGGAUAUUAGAACUGGCCUGUGAUCCAGAAUUGAAUGUACAUCCAUCACGAC